rnacentral:rRNA from 1 species
GCGGAUGAACUGUGGGUAGCGGAGAAAUUCCAAUCGAACCCGGAGAUAGCUGGUUCUCCCCGAAAUAGUUUUAGGACUAGCCUCAAGUUAGAUACCUGGAGGUAAAGCACUGAAUAGCCUAGCGGCCGAGAGGUUAGCGAAGCUUAUCAAACUCAGAAUGCCAGAGUAUUGAUGCUUGGGAGUCAGACAGUGUCAGAUAAAUGUCAUUGUCAAAAGGGAAACAGCCCAGAUCUACAGCUAAGGUCCCAAAGUCAGGUUAAGUGGAAAACGAUGUGAAGAUACGCAGACAACCAGGAUGUUGGCUCAGAAGCAGCCACUCAUUCAAAGAGUGCGUAAUAGCUCACUGGUCGAGCGUCUUUGCGCGGAGAAUUUAACGGGGCUAAACCUGACACCGAAGCUUAGGCAAUACAGUAAUGUAUUGGGUAGGGGAGCGUUGUAUACGCGGUGAAACAGUAGCGCAAGCGGCUGUGGAGUGUAUAGAAGUGAGAAUGCCGGAAUGAGUAGCGCGAAUGCAGUGAGAAUCUGCAUGGCCGAAAGCCUCAGGUUUCUGGAGGAAGGUUCGUCCGCUCCAGGUCAGUCGGGAGCUAAGGUGAGGCCUAACGGCGUAGCCGAUGCACAGACGGUAGAGAUUCCGUCACCACCAAAAGAGUUAAACACAGGGACACAUAUGAAGUCUCGGAGCCGGGUGUUGGUUCCGGUAGCGAUCGAGGGAAGUUAGUACCGAAGUCUGAGAUGGAAGAUGGCGAGAAAAGCUGUGUGAAUUUCUGCGGUGCCCGUACCGCAAACCGACACAGGUAGGUAGGAAGAAGAUUCUAAGGCCAACGGGAGAAGGGUUGUUAAGGAACUCGGCAAAUUGACCCCGUAACUUCGGGAGAAGGGGUGCUGCAGCAAUGCAGCCGCAGAGAAUCGGCCCAAGCAACUGUUUACCAAAAACACAGGUUUGUGCUAAAUCGAAAGAUGACGUAUACGAGCUGACGCCUGCCCGGUGCUGGAAGGUUAAGAGGAGAUGUGCAAGCAUUGAAUCGAAGCCCCAGUGAACGGCGGCCGUAACUAUAACGGUCCUAAGGUAGCGAAAUUCCUUGUCAGGUAAGUUCUGACCCGCAUGAAAGGCGUAAUGAUUUGGGCACUGUCUCAACAGCCCGCCCGGCGAAAUUGUAGUACCGGUGAAGAUGCCGGUUACCCGCGACAAGACGGAAAGACCCCAUGGAGCUUUACUGUAGCCUAAUAUUGGGUUUCGAUGUUGCAUGCACAGGAUAGAUGGGACACUGGGAAGCAGGUGCUUUGGCGCUUGUGGAGUGGCCGUUGGGAUACCAUCCUUGCGAUAUUGGAAUUCUAACCUGCGCCUUUGAAUCAAGGCGGGGGACAUUGUUAGGUGGGCAGUUUGACUGGGGCGGUCGCCUCCUAAAGAGUAACGGAGGCGUUCAAAGGUUCGCUCAGCUUGAACGGAAAUCAAGCAAAAGAGUGCAAACGCAGAAGCGAGCCUAACUGCGAGACUGACGGGUCGAGCAGUAACGAAAGUUGGAGUUAGUGAUCCGGUGGUAUGUGAGUGGAAAUGCCAUCGCUCAACGGAUAAAA